rnacentral:lncRNA from 1 species
CAAGAGUUUGGAUUAGGCUUAACCUUAUGGAGCCAAUUUGCUAACUUUGAGUGUGAUCUAUUAGUAGGACAACAUUGAAAAACUGAACAUAAUACGAGGAUUUUUGAUGUUUUGGUAAUUGAGGCAAGGUAUUGGGUAAAUUGUUGGUCAAGAAAAAUCAUCAGAAACUCUGGGCGAGACGGUUAGAUUUGUCGAAAUAAGACAGAAAUUGGAUUUUUGUUCACGAGGUAGGACCAAAGUUAGUUUUUUUAUUUUUUAAAUGCACAACCUUCACUUCUUUAUAAUCCUGCCAACAUACAAGGAAAGAGCAUCUUUAUCUGCAGAUUGAGCAAUCCAAGCUAGAGGAGGACAAAACUGCAAAUGGUAUCUUUGAGACUCUAAGACGUUGAAAAAGCGUCAUGUUGCCAUCACAAAGAGCUUCCUUCUAUUGGGUAUGCGUAGCUACUAGCGUUUGCAGCAGUAAUAUCCAGUACGCCUGAACUCUAAAUGUUGCGUUUUGAGUUAAAUAAGUUGCGUUUGAAAUAAGUUGCUUGUUAAAUUAAAGUAAACGCUUCAUAAGUAAUAUUCUCAAAUUAUAAUCCAUGUCACAAAAGUUACUUGAUUCAGCUUAAUAGAAGAGGAAAUAAGGUUACUUUUCACACGAGAGAAAGCCUAACUAAUACACGUAUAUGUCUGAACCCAAUCAUCAUAUAUAACUCAAGAAGCUUAAGUUAUUAUAUCAAGCCGUCAACUUGAAAGUCUCUUUUCUCUAUACUAUAAGCACUACUAUUCUUCAUAAAUUAAUUUU